AGUGACGGUACCUGCAGAAGAAGCGCCGGCUAACUACGUGCCAGCAGCCGCGGUAAUACGUAGGGCGCAAGCGUUGUCCGGAAUUAUUGGGCGUAAAGAGCUCGUAGGCGGCUUGUCGCGUCUGCUGUGAAAGCCCGGGGCUUAACCCCGGGUGUGCAGUGGGUACGGGCAGGCUAGAGUGCAGUAGGGGAGACUGGAAUUCCUGGUGUAGCGGUGAAAUGCGCAGAUAUCAGGAGGAACACCGAUGGCGAAGGCAGGUCUCUGGGCUGUUACUGACGCUGAGGAGCGAAAGCAUGGGGAGCGAACAGGAUUAGAUACCCUGGUAGUCCAUGCCGUAAACGUUGGGCACUAGGUGUGGGGGACAUUCCACGUUUUCCGCGCCGUAGCUAACGCAUUAAGUGCCCCGCCUGGGGAGUACGGCCGCAAGGCUA
rnacentral:rRNA from 1 species